UCACCCCCAAAUCCAGCUGCUUUCAGGCAAAAAAACAAAAGGUGGGGAUGAAGCUGCACCCCUCGCUCUACCCACCUCCCUUUGUGUUUCCUAAGCCCAUGAAACUGGGUGCGGAAGGGAGUUCCCUACCCCAGAAAUUUAAGGAUCAGGUUGGUUGUGCCGACUCUGUGCCAGCCAGUUUCUGUAAGUGGACGGUGCAUGAAAAGCCCCUUUGAGAAGCUCUAAUCACCAGCGUAACCAACAUGAAAAGUUGCUUCUGGAAAAAGUGCUUUCUUCCUGCCUUUUAACAGCCAACUGCAGGGUGUUCCUGGUACAGCACAAAUAUUUUCAACAGGCUAAAUAAUUAUCUUUAAUUAGUUUUCAUUAGGGUGAUGCCAAUCCACCCCUCUCUUUGGAAACUCGCUUAGCUCCUGAAAUGGCUUGAAAACAAUGAAGCAGGGAAAAUACUCUGCUCGAGCUGCAUUCAUUUCCAUCCACCACAGGAAAGAAAGGGACCACCAGACCCUUUGGGCUUUGCAAAGGAGGCUGGAGUGAGUUUAAAAUAGUUGGUCUCUGUGAUUUGUUUUCAUUUUCACUUCCAGAGCAAAAGCUAAUGCUGGGAUUGCUCUCUGUUCUUCACUAUCCAGAGGCAACGGCAUCACAACCCCGGUCCUUCAGUGAUGUUUUCUCCUGGGCCACAUUCCCACCGUGGCUUGUGGCCAUCAGGACCACCACAGCGGCAGAGGCGAGCCUGGGGCAGCAGCACGGGAGUCUGCAUCUCCUCCUGUGCUAACAGGGUGCAGGCAGUUCUUAUCACAUCCCUGUGUGUCUUCCUGGCCCUGACCUGCUCCAUAAGCAGAGGAAGGAUGGGGAGGUGAUUGCCUGUGGUCUGUGUUGAGUGCCAGCACAGAUAACAGCCUGGCAUUGUCAGGUUUUUGGCUCUGGCAUGCAAAGCUCAAUACAUAGGUGAGGUGAGCGUUUUGAGCAGUGGGGUGUAGUUGCCUGGUGCGCAAUGCUUAACCAAAACACAUCUCUGUUGCUCCAUCUCCAUGUCAGGAGUGCAUGUGCACCCCCUGCACAUUCUCCACCAGCUGGGUAGGAUACAGGCACGAUUGGGCCAGACCAGGUCCAGGAUCACAUUUCUGGAUAGGGCCAGCACCAGCAGACACUGGGAGAUGGGACCAGAAAGCACAAGAACCCCAUGGCAUGUAGGCAUGGAAGGUACCCACCUUGGUCAUUGAAAGCCACCAGAUGUCCUGCUGGGGAGACAGAAGGGUGUCUGUGUUAUAUUGUCUGCACCAUCAAGCUGGCAUGAACACAGCUGUUGUGGAUCCUUGGUCCUCACUUGCUCUAUCUACUACUGUGUAAUUGGUUUCCAUUUCCACCUUAAAUCUACAGUGCUUGUUUCCAAAUGAUGUGUUUUCACACUGAUUUCCUGAAGUUCUGGGGUGGUUUUUUUUGUCUCAUUUCUACUAUUUCUGCAUACAGCCACCUCUUGGUCUGGUCCUGGUCCAAACCCUGUCAGUGAUAAGGGGAAAUUCCCCAUCAGACAGAGGAAACCAUCCCAGCAUUCCAGGCAGACUUUCCAAAGUAUUUUUAAUGAAGGGCACACACCCUCUGAGCCCGAUGAGUGUCCUGUUUACCUUUCCUCAUGGACUCUGCAGGCUGCAGGAGAAGGGGGGAGAUGUCCUGGCAUCAGCUGGCCUGAGGAAAAGGGGAAUUACUCUGGGAAUGUUUGAAGGAAGACCCUGUCCUGGCACUUCGCUGAGUCAGGAGGAUGCCAGCAGCAGAGCAGGGACGUUAAUCUGAACUUGUGCUCCCUGCCAACAGCCAGUGCCAGCAACCUCUGCGGGAAAGUGAGCAAGGAACCUGCUUUCUGCUGCUUGGAUGCACCAAGUGAUACCUGCACUGUGGUUUGUGGAAGCAGAGGGGUUCUGGGUUAGUCUUAAUUUCUCGUGGCAUCUUCCUCUCCCACCGCUUCUGCUUCGUUUGUGCCCAGACUGAGUUUGAGUUGGUGCCGUUCAUCUGAGGGCAAAUCUCCUGAUGGGACUGGAAAAGUAGUUGGGUCUCCAGGUGCUUGUAAGACCCUCAAUGCAAGGGCCUCUGGGGAUGGGAGGAGGUAGCCUGAGUCAUGAGAGAGGAACUGCUACUCCACCUAUUCCUCGCUUGGUCUAGCAGGGGAGACAGCUCAAUCCCAGAGAUCCAGCCUACAAGCGAUGAGUCAGCCAUUGUCCAGAGAGUCUCCAUGGGACAAACAUCAUCACGUCUUUCCUUGGCUAUCUCCUCAGCAAAUUCAUCCUUCAGCUGGCCUGGCAGCUUCUCCUCCUGUUUUGUUUGCCGCCUCUUGGUCGCAAAGUGCUGUCACUGGAAGGGGAAGUGUUGAUGAUGCCUCUCAGUCUAUUCUACCUAAUUUUAAACCUUUGUAAAAGGGUUUCCUUUUCUGUCUUUGUGGCUUCAUUGUGUUCUGUGAUAAAUUAGGAAUAGAAAAAGUCACAUGAGGAAAGCUGUUGUCUGAUAUUUGGUGCCAUGGUGAGAUGCACUAUUGUUGUGAUGAAGACCUUGUGCCAGAGCAGCCCUGUUCUACUGUUGGUCAUCCUCUCUGCAAGAGACAGGAAGCAGUUCCCAGAACUGGCUUGACACUGCUGUGACCUGGGCCAACUGCUGUCCUUGCAAAAGAAAGAAAAGUGAAGCCAGAGGUCAAACAACAGGAACAGGCAUUGAGGAAAUGAUCCCUCGCUGAAAUUAAUGAACUCGCAGGAUAACAUGCCAUUCAGGGUGAGUCACUGCUUUUCCUUUCAUGGUGCUGAGGGGAGCACGAGGCUGUGGGGUUUCUGGGCAUCAGGGAAGAAGGGGUCUGUGCCAAAUGGGGUGAGGAUUUCAGUGGUUCCUCACCAAAAGAAAGACUCAAGAAGUGAUGGCUUGACA